CUGUGCAGGUGCCUGAACAAGCAGAGCCUCACAAAAGUGUGCAGGGCUUGCUCUGAAACGUCAGAGCUGUUUGGUGCAGCUUUUUAUUGGGCUGACAGGUGCAGUUAAAAGUGAUUCACAUCCUGAUCAUCAGCUGUGUUUUUCUUUCCUCAGGUUUCAACUGCCCACAAUUAAAGGUAAUAAAUUAGAGAGGAAACACGGAAGAGCUGCAGCAGAACUCUGGAGGUAAAGGUGAGGUACUGGGUGUGGCCUGGUGGCUGCUGGAGUUGUCAGGGACUUCCCAGCCAGGGCUCUCCUUGGCUUUUAUUUUACAGCUGAGGCAGAGAAACUUCAAUACUGCAGUCAGUCAAAACAAAGAAGACAGUUCUUUCAUUUUCAGUUCAAAACAAGACUCUGCAUUCUGGCAGAAAAAGACAGGGCAGAAUGUAUAGUGUUGUAAUUAUAUAAAGUAAAUAGUGUCUGACAUUUUUUAAUUUAUUCCUGGAGAAAAUAGAGAAGUCUUGGUGGACCUACUAGAAAUUGAGGUGGGAAAUGAGCUAAAGUAAAAUUCUUACCAGGAUUUACAGAGCUGAGUAAAUGAGAAAAUGAGUUUCUGUAAACUCCAGCAGAAACCACAUUAGAUAAAUCAGUUCCAGUUCCACAGCAAAGAGGAGACAGCUGAGCCCACAGUAACAGGUACUUCAUAAUAAAAAAUACUAAAUUUGCUUUUUAAAUACAUAUUGUUUGAAAACAAAACCAGCCUAUAAGUAAAUGGCCAUAUGCUUUAUGUACUAGUCUAAUUCAGCUUUUUGACAACCAUUCAUUGCUUUGUGUUUUCUGUGAGUACAAAGUGGAGUUAGAGUGUCUGCUCUGUAGCAUUUACAGGGGCUGGUGAUCUUCAGAGUCUUUGAGGAGCUGUCCUUGCUACCCCCAGGACAGAGAGCUGGCUGGCCUGAGCAGCAACCUGGGUUUUUUCUAAGCAGGCUGCAGCUCUCCUGGCUGCUCCAGGAUGUUUCCACUGGGAUGGAUCAGCUGGAUUUGAAAAGAGCAUUUGCCUGAUGGUGGCCUUGGCCAUGGAAUUGUCUCACCGUGCCCAGCAGCUCCUGGUCUGAGCCCUGUCCCUCGUUAAGGGAGGUCCCUGUGUGCCCUGUGCUGUGCCAUGGAGUGGAGGAAAGACAGCUUCAUCUGAGCUGUGGGAAACCCCCAGCCCUGGUGGGAGCACAAGGAGCACCUGCACCCAGACACCUGCACAGAUUGCCUGAGGACUGGCUGAAGGGCAGGAGUUGGUCAAGAACAGCUGAAGUCCACAGAGGGAGAGCAUGCCACUCUUCCGAGGGAAAAGUGAGUCCUUAUUGUUUUCCCAGCCUUCCUCACUAUCAGACUGAACC